rnacentral:lncRNA from 1 species
GCGUGCAUAUGUACAUAAAAAUAUAUUUUUUAAUCAAAGUGUGGGCUCGGAUUAGAUUUUAGAUACGCCAUGAUUACGAAGUGGUUGCUCGAUUAAUCGGCCAUCCUAAAUCGUCUUGUCAAGAUGUGUAUCAUAAAACCUUUUGUGUUGUCGGUGUUAUAAAAAUUUUGUCAUUGCCCAUAUUUAUUUAUUUUUAUUACGUAUUUGUAUACGUAAUGUCCGUCUUUUAUUAGGGGAGACCUCGAAAAUCGACGGAGAAUUUCUUCAUCGACCAUUGUAUUGAUACUUGAUAUGAAUAGAUAAACUUGAGAAAAAUAAAGUCCAUCUUUGUAAUGGGGUGGCCUCAAGUAUCUGACGGAGAGAUAAUGCCAUUGUUCAUGUGUCUAUUUUUGAUAUAAAAUAAAUAACUUGAAAAGUAAAGAUCCGUCUUUUGUAUUGGGGUGGCCUCAAGUAUCCGACGGAUAGAUAAUAUCAUUGGCCAAAGUAUUUAUUUUGAGUAUAUGUAUGUGUUUUUGAGAAAAAAAAAAAGAUGAACAAAUUUUGUGUACGAUAAAAAUAUAUGUGUGGUGAAGAAUUUGUGUGUGUAGUGAAGAUGUGUGUGUUUGGGAGAGAAGAAAAAUAUGUGGGUAUGAUAAAUGUGUAUCUGUAUUUGUGAAUGUGUGUUUUAUUCGUGUAUUUUUAUGUGAGAAGAGUGAAAAAAUGUGCGUAUUAUAAUUUGGAAAAAAAGAAUCAAAUAUAUAAAAAGAAAAUUGAUUUUUUUAUAUUUUGAGAGAGGGGAGAAAGAAGAAUAAAAU